rnacentral:rRNA from 1 species
AACGAACGCUGGCGGCAUGCCUAACACAUGCAAGUCGAACGAGACCUUCGGGUCUAGUGGCGCACGGGUGCGUAACGCGUGGGGAUCAGCCCUUUGCUUCGGAAUAACAGUUAGAAAUGACUGCUAAUACCGGAUGAUGUCGCAAGACCAAAGAUUUAUCGGCAAAGGAUGAACCCGCGUAGGAUUAGCUAGUUGGUGGGGUAAAGGCUCACCAAGGCGACGAUCCUUAGCUGGUCUGAGAGGAUGAUCAGCCACACUGGGACUGAGACACGGCCCAGACUCCUACGGGAGGCAGCAGUGGGGAAUAUUGGACAAUGGGCGAAAGCCUGAUCCAGCAAUGCCGCGUGAGUGAUGAAGGCCUUAGGGUUGUAAAGCUCUUUUACCAGGGAUGAUAAUGACAGUACCUGGAGAAUAAGCUCCGGCUAACUCCGUGCCAGCCGCCGCCGUAA